GAUGAACGCUGGCGGCGUGCCUAAUACAUGCAAGUCGAGCGAAUGGAUUAAGAGCUUGCUCUUAUGAAGUUAGCGGCGGACGGGUGAGUAACACGUGGGUAACCUGCCCAUAAGACUGGGAUAGCUCCGGGAAACCGGGGCUAAUACCGGAUAACAUUUUGAACCGCAUGGUUCGAAAUUGAAAGGCGGCUUCGGCUGUCACUUAUGGAUGGACCCGCGUCGCAUUAGCUAGUUGGUGAGGUAACGGCUCACCAAGGGAACGAUGCGUAGCCGGCCUGAGAGAGUGAUCGGCCAACCUGGGACUGAGACCCGGCCCAGACUCCUACGGGAGGCAGCAGUAGGGAAUCUUCCGCAAUGGACGAAAGUCUGACGGAGCAACGCCGCGUGAGUGAUGAAGGCUUUCGGGUCGUAAAACUCUGUUGUUAGGGAAGAACAAGUGCUAGUUGAAUAAGCUGACACCUUGACGGUACCUAACCAGAAAGCCACGGCUAACUACGUGCCAGCAGCCGCCGUAA
rnacentral:rRNA from 1 species